rnacentral:rRNA from 1 species
GGGUUGUGAGGUUAAGCGACUAAGCGUACACGGUGGAUGCCCUGGCAGUCAGAGGCGAUGAAGGACGUGCUAAUCUGCGAUAAGCGUCGGUAAGGUGAUAUGAACCGUUAUAACCGGCGAUUUCCGAAUGGGGAAACCCAGUGUGUUUCGACACACUAUCAUUAACUGAAUCCAUAGGUUAAUGAGGCGAACCGGGGGAACUGAAACAUCUAAGUACCCCGAGGAAAAGAAAUCAACCGAGAUUCCCCCAGUAGCGGCGAGCGAACGGGGAGCAGCCCAGAGCCUGAAUCAGUGUGUGUGUUAGUGGAAGCGUCUGGAAAGGCGCGCGAUACAGGGUGACAGCCCCGUACACAAAAAUGCACAUGCUGUGAGCUCGAUGAGUAGGGCGGGACACGUGGUAUCCUGUCUGAAUAUGGGGGGACCAUCCUCCAAGGCUAAAUACUCCUGACUGACCGAUAGUGAACCAGUACCGUGAGGGAAAGGCGAAAAGAACCCCGGCGAGGGGAGUGAAAAAGAACCUGAAACCGUGUACGUACAAGCAGUGGGAGCACGCUUCGGCGUGUGACUGCGUACCUUUUGUAUAAUGGGUCAGCGACUUAUAUUCUGUAGCAAGGUUAACCGAAUAGGGGAGCCGAAGGGAAACCGAGUCUUAACUGGGCGUUAAGUUGCAGGGUAUAGACCCGAAACCCGGUGAUCUAGCCAUGGGCAGGUUGAAGGUUGGGUAACACUAACUGGAGGACCGAACCGACUAAUGUUGAAAAAUUAGCGGAUGACUUGUGGCUGGGGGUGAAAGGCCAAUCAAACCGGGAGAUAGCUGGUUCUCCCCGAAAGCUAUUUAGGUAGCGCCUCGUGAAUUCAUCUCCGGGGGUAGAGCACUGUUUCGGCAAGGGGGUCAUCCCGACUUACCAACCCGAUGCAAACUGCGAAUACCGGAGAAUGUUAUCACGGGAGACACACGGCGGGUGCUAACGUCCGUCGUGAAGAGGGAAACAACCCAGACCGCCAGCUAAGGUCCCAAAGUCAUGGUUAAGUGGGAAACGAUGUGGGAAGGCCCAGACAGCCAGGAUGUUGGCUUAGAAGCAGCCAUCAUUUAAAGAAAGCGUAAUAGCUCACUGGUCGAGUCGGCCUGCGCGGAAGAUGUAACGGGGCUAAACCAUGCACCGAAGCUGCGGCAGCGACGCUUAUGCGUUGUUGGGUAGGGGAGCGUUCUGUAAGCCUGUGAAGGUGUGCUGUGAGGCAUGCUGGAGGUAUCAGAAGUGCGAAUGCUGACAUAAGUAACGAUAAAGCGGGUGAAAAGCCCGCUCGCCGGAAGACCAAGGGUUCCUGUCCAACGUUAAUCGGGGCAGGGUGAGUCGACCCCUAAGGCGAGGCCGAAAGGCGUAGUCGAUGGGAAACAGGUUAAUAUUCCUGUACUUGGUGUUACUGCGAAGGGGGGACGGAGAAGGCUAUGUUGGCCGGGCGACGGUUGUCCCGGUUUAAGCGUGUAGGCUGGUUUUCCAGGCAAAUCCGGAAAAUCAAGGCUGAGGCGUGAUGACGAGGCACUACGGUGCUGAAGCAACAAAUGCCCUGCUUCCAGGAAAAGCCUCUAAGCAUCAGGUAACAUCAAAUCGUACCCCAAACCGACACAGGUGGUCAGGUAGAGAAUACCAAGGCGCUUGAGAGAACUCGGGUGAAGGAACUAGGCAAAAUGGUGCCGUAACUUCGGGAGAAGGCACGCUGAUAUGUAGGUGA